GCCGGUUACAUAAAUGCUGGAAACGAGCCAAGUAAAACAGCCCCCAAACAGAUGGCCAUGUGUGUAAAUGCCAGAAAGAAAAAUUCCCAAAGGAAGCAGUCAUAAAAUACAAGAAGAAAGAAAGAAGGAAAGAAAGAAAGAAAGAAAGAAGGAAGGAAAGAAAGAAAGAAAGAAAGAAAGAAAGAAAGAAAGAAAGAAAGAAAGAAAGAAAGAAAGAAAGAAAGAAAAGGAAAAAGAAGGGAAUAAAUAUAAGAGUGUGUCUUUGGGCAAAUCUAAGUCAUCGGAGUCAUCCACACAACGUCUUCAGGGAUCAAGUAUUCUAGGAAAGUGCUAUCUGUGCCUAUUAAGAAAUGUCAACAAAGGAGAUUUUACAGUAAGUCAAAUAAAUCCACCUGGUGAUCCAAAAGAAGCUAGAAGUGGAAUGCUUAUGUGGCUUUUACUUAAAAAUAAAAAGACCCUUUAUAGGCUUAGUUUCUUUCCUUCAAAGCAAAUUUAAAGAUAGCUGUAGUUCCUUCCAGCGCUGACCUACAUACCCCGGUUCCAAGUCCAUAUUGAUGCAAUCAAGAAAAGUUUACACUUCUGUAACUGUGAAGAAUUUCAGUUAUGCAUAAUAAAACACAGCAAGGAGUUUAAGGCUUUUCCACUUCAAAAACUAGGCUCUCUUCUUGUCUGAAAUGACUGAUAACAUUUUCUUUCUUUGCUCUAAUGAAAAUGGUGCACUUUUAAUAACUAGUAUAGCAAAUAUUAGACAGUUUCAAAGGAAAGUAAAUCAGUUCUUCAUCAAUUCCAUCAAAUUGCUUCCUUUUACUAAAC
rnacentral:lncRNA from 1 species